AAAUAAGAAGCAACUCAUGCAAUUAGUUUCGACCUAAAAGAAGAUGAUUAACAAUCAUCCUUAUUUA
rnacentral:tRNA from 1 species